rnacentral:rRNA from 1 species
UACGUAGGGUGCAAGCGUUAAUCGGAAUUACUGGGCGUAAAGCGUGCGCAGGCGGUUAUGUAAGACAGAUGUGAAAUGCCCGGGCUUAACCUGGGAACUGCAUUUGUGACUGCAUGGCUAGAGUUUGGCAGAGGGGGGUAGAAUUCCACGUGUAGCAGUGAAAUGCGUAGAUAUGUGGAGGAACACCGAUGGCGAAGGCAGCCCCCUGGGUCAAGACUGACGCUCAUGUGCGAAAGCGUGGGGAGCAAACAGG